rnacentral:lncRNA from 1 species
GAUCAGUUGGAAUUGGACGACAACGACAGGUCGACGAUGACGGUAAAACCUACAAAAAAAAUUUGUGACAACAAAAAAGAAGGAGCAAGCAUGUAAAAAAAGAGGAGAUUUCAUACUUUGAGAGUCUCCUGUAAGCCUUUAUUUAUAAGUGGAAGCAGAGGAGCCGUAAGAAGAAAUAGAAUCAGGCGAUUGGCCUGAUCUUGUUGAACCAAAUACUUCUGUUGUCUUUUUCUUUAUUAAGAGAGAUAUAUUUGUUAUUUCUUAUCUCAUCAAGAAUAUUAGAUUCAAGGAGAAAAUCCAAU